rnacentral:rRNA from 1 species
UACGUAGGGUGCGAGCGUUGUCCGGAAUUAUUGGGCGUAAAGCGCGUGUAGGCGGCCUUGCAAGUCGGGUGUGAAAGCCCUCAGCUCAACUGAGGAAGCGCGCCCGAAACUGCAGAGCUUGAGUACCGGAGAGGAUGGCGGAAUUCCCCAAGUAGAGGUGAAAUUCGUAGAUAUGGGGAGGAACACCGGUGGCGAAGGCGGCCAUCUGGACGGAUACUGACGCUGAGACGCGAAAGCGUGGGGAGCAAACAGG